UCCUCAGUAGCUCAGCUGGUUAGAGCGGCGGACUGUUAAUCCGUAGGUCGCAGGUUCGAUCCCUGCCUGGGGAGCCC
rnacentral:tRNA from 1 species